rnacentral:lncRNA from 1 species
ACCUUUUCCUUUCUGGUAUCCUGUCAAUCUUCUCUUUUCUGGUAUCAAUCUUCUUUUCUGGUAUCCUCAACCUCAUCUCAACCUUUUCCUUUCUGGUAUCCUCUCAACCUUCUCCUUUCUGGUAUCCUCUCAACCUUCUCCUUUCUGGUAUCAAUCUUCUCUUUUUUGGUGUAAUCUCAACCUCCUUUCUAGUAUCAUCGCUGGUAGUCUUUGGCCCAUGCAUAACUCCCACUUGGGCGAAUUUCCCACCCAACCAUUUGAAAUCUUUGUGGGUCCUUCUUCAGACGUCCUCCUCAAAGGAAGCCAGGCAGGGGGCUAUAAACAAUGGAGUUUCCUCAACCAUGGCACCCCCUUUAUACACACGUAGCCCUCCCCAGGAAACAGCAUCUGGUGGACGAUGAUUCUAACGGAAGCCUACCUAGAUGGCUUCAAAAGGGGAAUCCAUGAAGACCAGAUUGCCCUUGCUAUGAUUAUUGAUGGGCACUUUCC